rnacentral:ncRNA from 2 species
AUCGUAGCAUUGCCGUCCGGCCUCGAACUGAGAGUGAAAAGGGAAUCUGGUGUAAAUCCAGAGCUGACGCGCAGCGGUAAGGGGAAGUCACGGCGAUAGUUUAUCUACAGACACUGUCCAUAACGGAUGGGAAGUCAUCGCCCGGUAUUGUGUUACUUCAUCUAUUAAAGGUGUGCACUUUAAUGUAGAUGUUGACGCAAUACAUCCCAAGCCCGAAAACCUGCCGGUAUUACGUCGCAAUA